CGGCGGACGGGUGAGUAACGCGUGGGUAACCUACCCUGUACACACGGAUAACAUACCGAAAGGUAUGCUAAUACGGGAUAAUAUAUUUGAGAGGCAUCUCUUGAAUAUCAAAGGUGAGCCAGUACAGGAUGGACCCGCGUCUGAUUAGCUAGUUGGUAAGGUAACGGCUUACCAAGGCGACGAUCAGUAGCCGACCUGAGAGGGUGAUCGGCCACAUUGGAACUGAGACACGGUCCAAACUCCUACGGGAGGCAGCAUG
rnacentral:rRNA from 1 species